GCCUGGGUGGCUCACGUGGUAAAGUUUCUGACUUCGGAUCAGGUCAUGAUCUCACAGUUUGUGAGUUCGAGCCCCACAUCAGGCU
rnacentral:tRNA from 1 species